rnacentral:rRNA from 1 species
AGCAGUCGCCGCGGUAAUACGAAGGGUGCAAGCGUUAAUCGGAAUUACUGGGCGUAAAGCGUGCGCAGGCGGUUUGUUAAGACAGAUGUGAAAUCCCCGGGCUCAACCUGGGGACUGCAUUUGUGACUGGCAAGCUAGAGUGUGGCAGAGGGGGGUGGAAUUCCGCGUGUAGCAGUGAAAUGCGUAGAUAUGCGGAGGAACACCGAUGGCGAAGGCAGCCCCCUGGGCCAACACUGACGCUCAUGCACGAAAGCGUGGGGAGCAAACAGGAUUAGAUACCCGCGUAGUCCCUGUCUCUUAUAC